AUUGAACGCUGGCGGCAUGCCUUACACAUGCAAGUCGAACGGUAACGGGCCUUCGGGUGCCGACGAGUGGCGAACGGGUGAGUAAUACAUCGGAACGUGCCCGAUCGUGGGGGAUAACGCGGCGAAAGCUUUGCUAAUACCGCAUGCGAUCUACGGAUGAAAGCAGGGGACCGCAAGGCCUUGCGCGGACGGAGCGGCCGAUGGCAGAUUAGGUAGUUGGUGGGAUAAAAGCUUACCAAGCCGACGAUCUGUAGCUGGUCUGAGAGGAUGAUCAGCCACACUGGGACUGAGAAACGGCACAGACACCUACGGGAGGCAGCAGUGGGGAAUUUUGGACAAUGGGCGCAAGCCUGAUCCAGCCAUGCCGCGUGCAGGAUGAAGGCCUUCGGGUUGUAAACUGCUUUUGUACGGAACGAAAAGCCUUCUUUUAAUACAGGAGGGUCAUGACGGUACCGUAGGAAUAAGCACCGGCUAACUACGUG
rnacentral:rRNA from 1 species